rnacentral:rRNA from 1 species
AUUGAACGCUGGCGGCAUGCUUUACACAUGCAAGUCGAACGGUAACAGGCCUUCGGGUGCUGACGAGUGGCGAACGGGUGAGUAAUGCAUCGGAACAUACCCAGUCGUGGGGGAUAACGUAGCGAAAGUUACGCUAAUACCGCAUACGUCCUGAGGGAGAAAGCGGGGGAUCGCAAGACCUCGCGCGAUUGGAGUGGCCGAUGUCAGAUUAGCUAGUUGGUGGGGUAAAGGCCCACCAAGGCGACGAUCUGUAGCGGGUCUGAGAGGAUGAUCCGCCACACUGGGACUGAGACACGGCCCAGACUCCUACGGGAGGCAGCAGUGGGGAAUUUUGGACAAUGGGGGAAACCCUGAUCCAGCCAUGCCGCGUGCGGGAAGAAGG